rnacentral:rRNA from 1 species
AUUGAACGCUGGCGGCAGGCUUAACACAUGCAAGUCGAGCGGAGCGAGGGUGCUUGCACCUUAGCUUAGCGGCGGACGGGUGAGUAAUGCUUAGGAAUCUGCCUAUUAGUGGGGGACAACAUUCCGAAAGGAAUGCUAAUACCGCAUACGCCCUACGGGGGAAAGCAGGGGAUCUUCGGACCUUGCGCUAAUAGAUGAGCCUAAGUCGGAUUAGCUAGUUGGUGGGGUAAAGGCCUACCAAGGCGACGAUCUGUAGCGGGUCUGAGAGGAUGAUCCGCCACACUGGGACUGAGACACGGCCCAGACUCCUACGGGAGGCAGCAGUGGGGAAUAUUGGACAAUGGGCGGAAGCCUGAUCUAGCCAUGCCGCGUGUGUGAAGAAGGCCUUUUGGUUGUAAAGCACUUUAAGCGAGGAGGAGGCUACUCUGAUUAAUACUCAGGGAUAGUGGACGUUACUCGCAGAAUAAGCACCGGCUAACUCUGUGCCAGCCGCCGCGGUAAUAC